GGGGAUUUAGCUCAGUGGUAGAGUGCUUGCCUAGUAAGCGAAAGGCCCUGGGUUCGGUCCCCAGCUCUG
rfam:Rattus norvegicus chromosome 6, whole genome shotgun sequence.